UCAAAUUUCAAAAUUGUACAGAGAUAAACAUAAACUUUCUGUUUUGAAUGCUCAAAGUAAACUUCUAAUCGAAUGCAUUAUUCAACAUCAGGAUAUAAUUAAUUUGAGUGACAAAUUUCGAGAUGCUUUCAGUACAUAUUUCUUUUUUGAUUUCGUUACGGCAGCUUUACAGAUGACAUUAGUUCUUAUAGUUGCUCUCCUGGAACGAAAAUUAAAUGUGGAUGUUAUUAGUUCUAUUCUACAUAUUUUAACUAUUUUUGCUCAGUGUUUUAUGUUUUAUAAACCAUCACACGACUUAUUUGAUGAAAGCAUUGCUAUAUCGCAAGCAAUAUUUGAAAGUGAAUGGUAUCUAUGCCAAGUUGAAAUACAAGCAGCUUUAUUGAUUGUUAUUAUGCGAUGCCAUAAACCCUUAUAUAUGAGUAUUGGACCUUUUUAUAGAAUUAGGGUGUUUUUACUUGGAAAGGUUAGUCAGACGUUUUAUAAAUCUAUAUGUUUCUUAUACCAAAGAUUGUAAAAAGUACCCACCUGUCUCCACUUAUAAUGUGCUACACUUUUGAGGAUGACUUGGAAAAUGGUUAAACACAUGCACAUAACUAAAUAUGUAUUAUCGAUUUAAUAAUAAUAAAAUAAUAACAGU